rnacentral:lncRNA from 1 species
UGCAGAACAUAAGUGGGGGCAGCAAACAGAAUUCAACAGAAGAAGAAAUGCCAAGUCAUUCUGGGGUUAUCAGGCCUCAAGAAUCUUGGGGAACACUGGGGAGAAUAUUUGAUUGUCCAGUGAACUCCUGUCUGUGCAAGGAAGACCACAGAAAAGCCUAUUUGAUUUUAGUCCUUGUAAAGGAAGAUGAUCUAAAAUGACCAGGAGAAGGU